UUCCGGCUUCUCUUACGUCGUCCUUCCCCCCCUCCCCCUCGACGACGUCCCCCUUGAUGCCCAUGUCGAGACGCGCCUCAGCAUCAUGGUGGAGCGCUCCGUUCCCCACGUCCGCGACGUCCUCCGCACCUUGCGGCGGACCACCCGCCUCGCCGCUUACGUCAUCGACCUCUUCUGCGGCGAGACCCUCCCCGUGGCAAAGGAGCUCGGGGUGCCGCACUACCUUCUCUUCACCACCAGCUUCAUGGUGCUGUCCCUCCUGCUGCAUCUCCCUGCGCUGGACCAGGCCACGUCGUGCGAGUACAGGGACCUGCCGGAACCGGUGGUGCUCCCGGGCUGCUUCCCACUCCGAGGGGAGGACCUCCUGCACCCGAUGCAGGACCGGACCGACGACGCCUACCGAUGCAUGCUGAACAUCGCCAGGCGUAUCAGGGAAGUGGACGGCAUCCUCGUGAACAGCUUCGUCGACUUGGAGCCGGCGGCGUACGCGGCCCUCAAGGAGGCGGAGCCAGAGGUGGGGCGGCCGAACGUCCACGCAAUCGGGCCGGUGAUACACCGCGGCAGCCACGGUGGCGCGAAGGGGAAGGAGUGCCUGCGGUGGCUGGACGAGCAGCCGCCGGGGUCGGUGCUGUUUGUCUCGUUCGGGAGCGGGGGGACCCUCUCGACGGAGCAGAUACAGGAGCUGGCGCGGGGGCUGGAGGCGAGCGGGCGGCGGUUUCUCUGGGUGGUGCGGUGCCCCAGCGACCGGGUGGCUAGCGGGGCCUUCUUCCACCUGCAGGGGCCGGACGACCCGCUGCGCUACCUGCCGGAGGGUUUCCUGGAGCGGACGCGGGGGGCGGGGUUGGUGGUCCCGCUGUGGGUGCCCCAGGUGGAGGUGCUCGCCCACGCCGCAACCGGCGGCUUCCUCACCCACUGCGGCUGGAACUCGUUGCUGGAGAGCUUCGUCCACGGCGUGCCUAUCAUCGCGUGGCCGCUGUACGCGGAGCAGCGGACGAACGCCGUGAUGAUGGCGGACGGCCUGGGCGUGGCGCUGCGGCCUAAGACGGCAGCGGACGGCAGCGGGCUGGUGCGUAGGGAGGAGGUGGCGGAGGUGGCGAGGGAGCUGAUGGAGGGGGAGGCGGGGAAGAAGGCGAGGGAGAAGGCGGGGGAGCUGAAGCAAGCGGCAGCGCAGGCGGUGGCAGGCAGAGACGGGUCUUCUUGCAAGGCGCUGGCGGAGGUGAUGCAGUAUUGGAAGGACAACGCAGUGACGGGUGAGGUGUAGACUGAUGUUGGCGUCGAUGUAGAUGCUGUUGUACUCUGUGAUGAUAAAUAAGUCUGCAUGCGUGCUUCGGAUGCGUGCAUCAGCCGAGACUGUGCUUUCCAUGCGCAAGUGAUGCGCGAUGGUUGCAUGCGAUAUGGUUGUUUAUGUACAAUAACGCAGUGUUUGAUUUGAUUAGUUUUUUGUUGAUGACUAUUCGACUCAUUUAAAUUGAAUUAGGAUGCUUAUCAAUUGGAUUUAGAUGACUAUUCGACUCAUUUAAAUUGAAUUAGGAUGCUUAUCAAUUGGAUUUAGAUGACUAUUCGACUCAUUUAAAUUGAAUUAGGAUGCUUGUCAAUUAGAUUUAGAUGACUAUUCGACUCAUUUAAAUUGAAUCAGGAUGCUUGUCAAUUGGAUUUAGGACGAGUUCGCAAACUCUCAUAAUCUCUUAAUCCUGUUUGCAUGAAUAAUACAUGGGUACGUUUUAUGUGAUAUUUAGAAUAUUUAUUUUUUGAUUUGAUGGAAAAAAAUGAAUUGUUAAAUGAUCAAUUAGAAUUAUAAAAGUCUUUUAGAUAUUAAGAUUUAUGAUUAGUACUUACUAAUCGACGUUUAAUAGACAGGCGUUACUAUUAGUGGAUACAUGAAAAAUCUAAAAAUCUAAAUAUUUGGAGCAAUACAUAUGAUUGAUAGUAUCAAAUAUGCUAUUUCUAAAGGUUUAAAGGAAAAACCUUUAAAUAUUUUAAAAAAUUAAAUCAAGUAGGCAUAUGAGUUGAUUCAAAAUUUAUAUUCUAAUAACUUAUUUUUUUAAAUAAGAUUUUUUUUAUGAUAUCAAAAAUAAAUGACAAAGAUAAGAUUUGAUAUGAAGACUUUAGCGUAAUAUGUCAAAAUUAUUAUCCCAUCCUUUUUUAUUGAGUCACUCAAAAUAUAUAAUAAUAGCUCUACUAUGAAUUUCAUACAAUAAUGAUAAGUAGUUAGUUCCUCGUAGCAUUUAUCUCUUACACAUUCAUGUAUUUUAUUUGUAUUCAAUAAAUUAUCAUAAUUUAUGCAUCGACCCUCAAUUGUGUAAUAGUAUGUACUAAAAUAUAUCAUGCGAUAUCUUAAAGAGACUCAAUCAUAGAUUUCUUCGUAAACAUUCAUCACUUUACCUUCAUACUCUUGUUAAUGCUGAUUGGGCAAGUAAUACUUAUAAUAGAAAAUCUAUAUCAGUCUACAUUAUCUUUUUUGAAGCUAAUUUGAUCCGUUCCAAGUAAUAGAAUAUAAUAGUAAGAUUCAUCUUUGAAACUGAAUAUCGAGCCAUCACCAUCAUUGCUAUAGAACUUAAUUGGGUCACCAAUCAGCUUGAUAUCACCUCACAGUCCACUCCUAUAAUAUAUUGUGAUAAUGUUGGUUUCAUAUAUCUAUAUUCUAAACCGAUAUCCUACUCUCGCAUGAAACACAUGUUCUCGGUUUUCACUUUAUUAAAAAUUAAGUUAUCAAGCAUUAAAUGCAUAUUUCUUAUAUCUAUUUUUCUGACCAACUAGUUGAUGCUCUCACAAAGCCUCUCGUUUGUAGGAUUUUUCAAUUAUAUCGAUCCAAAAUUUGUAUCCUUGUCGGAAGAUACCAAAAUUUGUAUUCUUGCCGGAAGCUUAUCUUAUAGAAGCAUGAUAGAAGAUUAUAAUAGAGACAAAUAUUAGAUGAUAAUUUUGCAUUCCUUAGAUGCUCUAAUCCUCAAUUAAUAUAUGAUUUAAUGAUCAAUCAAAAUAAUAUAUAUGCAUGAUUAAGAAAAAUUUCUCCCUCAAAUAUAUAUAAAUAUACAUUACCUUAAUAAAUGAAAUCAUCCCCUUUCAUAGUAAACUCUUUAGUUAGUACCUUUAGAAAUAAUUGAUUCCUUCCAUUAAUCUAGAAUCAAAAUUUGACAUCCUACUCUAAAAAAUGAUUCAUCAGAUCUCUUAAAAAUACACCCUAAUACAGUAAAAGGACCCUUAGUUUCCAAAAUUGGUACCAAAUCAAGAGCAUUCUCAUCAUCUAUAGAUAGGUCACUUUCCACCUGAUUACCCUCAACCCAAACCUAUUUCGAUAAAAAAAAGAAAAAGAAAAAUUGAUGAGAGCAAAUCCUCCAUACAACAAGGAUAUCGAUUAGGAGAAUAAACAACCAUAUAAUGAUUUUCCAUUAUUACACACUUCUUUGCCUAGCUCAUCACCUUCUUCAAUCGAACACCUAAAGUGUCAUAAACAUAUAUCUUAUUAACUUUUGUUACAUAACACUAAUUCGAAGAACUAAAUAACAAUAGAAAAAUGAGAAAAAUAGUGAAUAGUUUCAAGACGAGAGACAUAGUAAAAAAAACAUUAUAAGAUCUACAUUGAUAUAUGUUGGUCAUAUAUUAAAAGAUAUUUAGUAACCCAUAGAUAUCACACACUCGGAUGUCCAUUUGGUUAACAAUAAUAAGCCUAAACCCUUCUUAAGAUAUCUGAUCAGCUUACACUUCCACACCUAGGAAUCUCACACCUCAAAGUCAUAAAAAAGAUUCUUUAUUUAAGAGAGGAACAAUCCUCUUAGCUCUAUACUUUUUCUCAUGAACAUCUCUAUCUUUAGACAAAGUGAUAUAAUCCCAACUACGUAGCUUAUGAUCAUCAUCUUCUUCUUAAUGCAGUUAAUGUAAAAUAAUAAUUCUUGAAGAUCAACAUCUAUUCUUUGAUUCAAGAAGGUGAUAAUUUAAAUUUUAUAUUAUAUAUCACUGGUCUAAUCUACUGGUCAACUUUAUUGAACCCAAACCAUUAGUUAACACUAAAGUUAAUAAUAAUACAUCGAUUAGAUCCGUAUAAAUUAAUUUUUAAUCUUAUUUACUUUUGAUACGAAAUUAAUUAGGGGUGUUACAGAUAGUGUCUCCUAUUCCACAUUAAUAUAACCCAUUUGCAUUGUUUCAUCCUAAAUCUUUUACUAAAAUAAAUUUCUUCAUCUGAUUAAUGAUACUUUAAGUUCUAUAUUAUCUAUGAGUUGUUGUUGGCCACAUUAUCUAUAUUGAUGUUACGUGCAUGGAUAAGAUCAUACGACAAACUUAACACAUUAAAAUGUGGAGACAACAAGAUCUCCAAUCGCCACAAAGAUUCCAUUACUUCUAUUUUAAUUAUUGUGCAUAGCUAUAUGAUUAUAGACUAAUAAAAGGUAGAUCAAUCAUUAUCAUCACACAUUUUUUAAUAUCAGUAUUUGAUACUGAUGGCCUAAAUGAUCCUUAAGUAAAAGUAAAAAAAAAGCCGAGACACGAAAUUGAAUUAUUGGACUCCCAAAUUCUCAAUUUAUUUUUAUUUAUUUAUUUUGAUCCAACAUACUAAGAUGAUCGAAUCUAUAAUUCUAUUAUAUAUUAUGUGCAUUCUCGGAACGUUGAUAAAGUUGGUCAUAAUUUUAAAAUAAUCUUCCUCUAAAUCAUCCACUUGUUUUGGAGUGUGGAAAUGAGAUAGAGUGUUUAAAGUCCAUGGCCAUUAGAGUUACUUUAAUAGCCUUUCGAUUUAAUCUCAUAUUAGAAGUGAGAGAUAAACUUAAGCAUCAUAGAACAAUACAUGAGAGAUUCAAAAGGUUUUGAUAGUUUGGAGAAUUGAGUAUAUCUUCUCUUGCCUAUGUUUUCAUGCCAAUACCCUUUGGAGGAAGAUCAAUCCCAAUCUAAUUCGAUGGGAUAAUUAACUUAUCAUUUUGUUUAGUAUAAACUACUAGUAAUGCUUUGCUUUGACUAAUACAAGAUUUGAAGAGGAGUAAUGAUAAAAGAAAUAACUAUGAAGGAUUAAAAACGAAUAGCACUAAUACCUAUGAUCUUAAUUCUACUAUUAUAAUUGAAUGUGAUGGGUAUCGAUGAAAUUUCAUGCAUAGUUCGUAUAUAUAUAAAAAAAAAAAGGUAAGGAAAAGAUGAUAUAUGGCGGCUUUCUCGUAGCAAAAAGAAAAAGGAUGGAUAAAUAUUUGGAUUUGAUCGGACUAAUAUUUUGGUUAGGUGGCUUGUUAUCAUUUUAAAAGGACAUUUUGAAAGGUUAGUUGAGGAGAUCAACGUGUUAAUAGAAACAUGAGAACGAUAGCUCAUAGAUUGGCGGCCGAUGAGAUUAUUAUUAGGAUGACAGUCAAUUUUAUCUCUCUUUUUUUUUGCAUAUACUGUUAAGCUCGGCAUGAUAUUUUAUUUUUAGUCUCUAAUAAAAUAGUUUUAGGUAUUUCUCAAUCUUAUUUUAUAUCUUUUAACCAUAACAUAUAUAUAUAUAUAUAUAUAUAUAUAUAUAUAUAUAUAUAUAUAUUCAUAUUAUGUUAUAGACAAAGGUUCGAUUCAUGAUGAUUAAUUAUUAUAAAAUCUUAAAAAAUAAUAAUGCUAAUCAUAUUAAGAUCCAUGUCCUAUUGGUUCUGUGAAAGUUUCGAUUGGUUUAAUAGAAGCUGACAAAGUUACACUUGAUCACAAUACCAAUUCAAAAAAUCUUUAAUUUUAAUAAUUAAUUAUCAUGAAUCCUGUAAAACUAAAAAUAAAAACAAAACUAAUUAUGACCAAAUAGUUUAAUAAAAAUUUGAGUUGAUUUAGUGAAAAUUUGACUAAAUCGUAUUCAAAAGCUAACUAAGUUACACCAAACAUACUCAAAAUCUUUUCUAUUUUGAUAAUUAAUUUAAAAAUAUUCAAAAAAUUAAAAAUCAUCUAGUGAUUCUGUUAAAUUUUGGGUAAAAAAUUGAUUAGCAUACGGUCGAAAUUGAACUAAGUUUCCACUCGAUCACACUAUCAAUUCAAAAAAAAAUCUUAAGUUUUAAUAAUAAUAAUUAUUAUUAUUAUUAUAAUUAUUAUUCAAAACUAAGUCGAAGCUUUUCGGGGUAAUUUAAAAUAUCUAUAAAAAUUUUAAGCUCAAGUUGCUAUAAAAAAGCCACCGCAGAGAACAAAUGGUCGCAUCGAAGCCAUGGAGAGAGGCAGCAGAGCUCCGCCUCACGUAGCCGUCAUGCCCAGCCCCGGCAUGGGCCACCUCAUCCCCCUCUCGGAGCUCGCCAAGCUCCUUGUCCUCCGCCACGGCUUCACCGCCACCUUCAUCGUCUUCUCCGACUUCUCCGACAACGCCCAGACCGCCUUCCUCGACUCCCUCCCUUCCGGCUUCUCUUACGUCGUCCUUCCCCCCCUCCCCCUCGACGACGUCCCCCCUGACGCCCAUGUCGAGACGCGCCUCAGCAUCAUGGUGGAGCGCUCCGUUCCCCACGUCCGCGACGUCCUCCGAUCCUUGCGGCGGACCACCCGCCUCGCCGCUUACGUCAUCGACCUCUUCUGCGUCGAGACCCUCCCCGUGGCAAAGGAGCUCGGGGUGCCGCACUACCUUCUCUUCACCACCAGCUUCAUGGUGCUGUCCCUCCUGCUGCACCUCCCUGCGCUGGACCAGGCCACGUCGUGCGAGUACAGGGACCUGCCGGAGCCGGUGGUGCUCCCGGGCUGCGUCCCUCUCCGAGGAGAGG
rnacentral:lncRNA from 1 species